rnacentral:rRNA from 1 species
GUGAGGAAUCUUGCGCAAUGGGGGCAACCCUGACGCAGCAACGCCGCGUGAGUGAUGAAGGCCUUCGGGUCGUAAAGCUCUGUCAGAUGGGAAGAAAGUUUUCGCGACGAAUAAUCGCGAAAAUUGACGGUACCGUCAAAGGAAGCACCGGCUAACUCCGUGCCAGCAGCCGCGGUAAUACGGAGGGUGCUAGCGUUGUUCGGAAUUAUUGGGCGUAAAGAGCGUGUAGGCGGCCAGGUAAGUCAGAUGUGAAAACCCUUGGCUUAACCAAGGAAGGGCAUUUGAAACUGUCUGGCUUGAGUACGGGAGGGGGAAGUGGAAUUCCCGGUGUAGAGGUGAAAUUCGUAGAUAUCGGGAGGAACACCGGUGGCGAAGGCGGCUUCCUGGACUGAUACUGACGCUGAGACGCGAAAGCGUGGGGAGCAAACAGGAUUAGAAACCCCAGUAGUCC